rnacentral:rRNA from 1 species
GUGGAUUUGAUACCCUGGUAGUCCACGCCCUAAACGAUGGAUGCUAGACGUAAGAGGUAUCGACCCCUCUUGUGUCGCAGCUAACGCAUUAAGCAUCCCGCCUGGGGAGUACGGCCGCAAGGUUGAAACUCAAAUGAAUUGACGGGGACCCGCACAAGCGGUGGAGCAUGUGGAUUAAUUCGAUACUAACCGAAGAACCUUACCCAGGUUUGACAUCGAUCGAAAGACCUAGAGAUAGGUCCCUGAACCACAAGUUCACGUGAAGACAGAUGUUGCACGGCUGUCGUCAGCU